rnacentral:rRNA from 1 species
AGUGAACGCUGGCGGUAGGCCUAAUACAUGCAAGUCGAACGGCAGCACAGUAAGAGCUUGCUCUUACGGGUGGCGAGUGGCGGACGGGUGAGGAAUACAUCGGAAUCUACUUUUUCGUGGGGGAUAACGUAGGGAAACUUACGCUAAUACCGCAUACGACCUACGGGUGAAAGCAGGGGAUCUUCGGACCUUGCGCGAUUGAAUGAGCCGAUGUCGGAUUAGCUAGUUGGCGGGGUAAAGGCCCACCAAGGCGACGAUCCGUAGCUGGUCUGAGAGGAUGAUCAGCCACACUGGAACUGAGACACGGUCCAGACUCCUACGGGAGGCAGCAGUGGGGAAUAUUGGACAAUGGGCGCAAGCCUGAUCCAGCCAUACCGCGUGGGUGAAGAAGGCCUUCGGGUUGUAAAGCCCUUUUGUUGGGAAAGAAAAGCAGCAGGUUAAUACCCCGCUGUUCUGACGGUACCCAAAGAAUAAGCACCGGCUAACUUCG